GAAAAUAGGAACCGGGAUUUGUCUACUUUUGGACUGAAAUAACAGGAUUUAGGUAAUUAGGACUGAGAAUGACUGCAGACACAAAAUUGAGAAAAUCUUUAUACCACAAUUAAUGCGUCAUGAUCAGUUGAACUUUUCGGAAUUUACAUGAAUUCAUGGGAAGCUAUAUAGCAACUUUUAAUUGAGAGCUUGUCUGACUAAUACUGUCAUUGAAGAGUUCAUUAUUUUAAGUUUUUAGUGGAAACGGGGAUUUGGGAGAAUAAAACGGCUGGGUAAUGGGAUUUAGAACCUACCACAUUCAGGACGCUCUGCAAGGUCCUUUAUGUAUCCAAAAUAUAGCUCAGUCAGUAGGGCAUGCAUCUUGAAAUCAAUUCCGUUUUUACCUUUAAAACUUUUUAACAAAACAUGGCUUAAUACGCAUAUUGCUAAUAAAUUUAUGUUCUCUGUUAUUUCAGUCUGCCGUAGAGGAGAAUUCCUGAACAAAACUAGUUGUGAUGCUUGUCCUGAAGACACGUACCAACCAAACACGAACAGCAGCCGUUGUUUACCAUGCCCCAAUGGAAGGAUGACGAACGGAAAAACAGGAGCCGACAGUCAUUUGUAUUGUUUAAGAGG